rnacentral:rRNA from 1 species
UCUGAGACAGGUGCUGCAUGGCUGUCGUCAGCUCGUGUUGUGAAAUGUUGGGUUAAGUCCCGCAACGAGCGCAACCCUUAUCCUUUGUUGCCAGCGGUUAGGCCGGGAACUCAAAGGAGACUGCCAGUGAUAAACUGGAGGAAGGUGGGGAUGACGUCAAGUCAUCAUGGCCCUUACGAGUAGGGCUACACACGUGCUACAAUGGCGCAUACAAAGAGAAGCGACCUCGCGAGAGCAAGCGGACCUCAUAAAGUGCGUCGUAGUCCGGAUUGGAGUCUGCAACUCGACUCCAUGAAGUCGGAAUCGCUAGUAAUCGUAGAUCAGAAU